rnacentral:hammerhead_ribozyme from 1 species
AUCCAGCUGACGAGUCCCGAAUAGAACGAAACGUUAGUCCUCGAU